UAGGGAGCGAGCGUUGUCCGGAAUUACUGGGUGUAAAGGGAGUGUAGGCGGGACGGCAAGAUAGGUGUGAAAUGCGGAGGCUCAAACCCCGAGCUGCACUUAAAACUGCUGUUCUUGAGUGAAGUAGAGGCUGGCGGAAUUCCCAGUGUAGCGGUGAAAUGCGUAGAUAUUGGGAGGAACAUCAGUGGCGAAGGCGGCCAGCUGGGCUUUUACUGACGCUGAGGCUCGAAAGCGUGGGGAGCAAA
rnacentral:rRNA from 1 species